rnacentral:rRNA from 1 species
GACGAACGCUGGCGGCGUGCUUAACACAUGCAAGUCGAGCGGUAAGGCCCUUUCGGGGGUACACGAGCGGCGAACGGGUGAGUAACACGUGGGUGACCUGCCCUUAGCUCUGGGAUAAGCCUGGGAAACUGGGUCUAAUACCGGAUAUGACUCCAUGACGCAUGUUGUGGGGUGGAAAGCCUUGUGCGGCUAGGGAUGGGCCCGCGGCCUAUCAGCUUGUUGGUGGGGUGAUGGCCACCAAGGCGACGACGGGUAGCCGGCCUGAGAGGGCGACCGGCCACACUGGGACUGAGACACGGCCCAGACUCCUACGGGAGGCAGCAGUGGGGAAGUCUUGCGCAAUGGGCGAAAGCCUGACGCAGCGACGCCGCGUGAGGGAUGACGGCCUCGGUUG